CCGGCGGCGGCGGCACCGGCGCAGGCAGCGGUACCGACAGCGGUAAGGACAGCGCCGAGAUACCUGUCCCGGGAGGGCAGGUGAGGACGGCAGGGAUCCUGCACUGCACCGCAGUCAGUGGGCAGCACUUGGGGCUGCUCCUGCUCACGCAUCCCUCCUUCCUGGGCUGCUGGAGGAGCUGAGGGAUGGAGCUUCUGCCUGCAAGUCUGGAUGUGGCCAAGGUCCUGAGCUGGGUGAGCACAGAUCCCCUCGGCGGUGACCGGUUCCUGGAAUGAACAGCUGAUUCCCAACAGGAAUCAUCCUGUGUGCACUGGAGUUAAACCUGAAUCCUGCACCCUUCUAUGGACUAUGGCUGACUAUGGGAGUGCUUUGAGACCAGAGCUUCCCCCUCCCUACCCCUGAGUUAAUUAUUAGGGGGAUUUUUGCAUUUAAUUUAAAAAUGAGUUUAACUUCUCCUCAAAUACUAUUUUUCAGCCUAAUUGAAA